rnacentral:rRNA from 1 species
AACAAACGCUGGCGGCGUGCCUAACACAUGCAAGUCGUACGAGAAAGGGUCCUUCGGGACCUGAGUAAAGUGGCGCACGGGUGAGUAACGCGUGGAUAAUCUGCCCUUCAGUUGGGAAUAACUCAUCGAAAGGUGGGCUAAUACCGGAUAAUGCUGUACUGCUUCGGCCGUAUAGCCAAAGAGAGCCUCUGCAUGCAAGCCCUCACUUAAGGAUGAGUCCGCGUACCAUUAGCUAGUUGGCAGGGUAAUGGCCUACCAAGGCGACGAUGGUUAGCUGGUCUGAGAGGAUGAUCAGCCACACUGGAACUGAGACACGGUCCGGACUCCUACGGGAGCAG